rnacentral:rRNA from 1 species
UACGUGCCAGCAGCCGCGGUAAUACGGAAGGUCCAGGCGUUAUCCGGAUUUAUUGGGUUUAAAGGGAGCGUAGGCGGAUUGUUAAGUCAGCGGUUAAAGGGUGUGGCUCAACCAUACAUUGCCGUUGAAACUGGCGAUCUUGAGUGCAGACAGGGAUGCCGGAAUUCGUGGUGUAGCGGUGAAAUGCUUAGAUAUCACGAAGAACUCCGAUCGCGAAGGCAGGUGUCCGGGCUGCAACUGACGCUGAGGCUCGAAAGUGUGGGUAUCAAACAGGAUUAGAUACCCUGGUAGUCCACACAGUAAACGAUGUAUACUCGCGGUUUGCGAUAGACAGUAAGCCGCCAAGCGAAAGCAUUAAGUAUACCACCUGGGGAGUACGCCGGCAACGGUGAAACUCAAAGGAAUUGACGGGGGCCCGCACAAGCGGAGGAACAUGUGGUUUAAUUCGAUGCAACGCGAAGAACCUUACCUGGUCUUGACAUACGCAGAAUCUUGCAGAGAUGCGAGAGUGCUUCGGGA